rnacentral:rRNA from 1 species
CGACAAGUAGGGCGGGACACGAGAAAUCCUGUCUGAAGAUGGGGGGACCAUCCUCCAAGGCUAAAUACUCGUAAUCGACCGAUAGUGAACCAGUACCGUGAGGGAAAGGCGAAAAGAACCCCGGGAGGGGAGUGAAAUAGAUCCUGAAACCGUGUGCAUACAAACAGUAGGAGCGGACUUGUUCCGUGACUGCGUACCUUUUGUAUAAUGGGUCAGCGACUUACAUUCAGUGGCAAGGUUAACCAUAUAGGGAAGCCGUAGAGAAAUCGAGUCCGAACAGGGCGUCCAGUCGCUGGGUGUAGACCCGAAACCAAGUGAUCUACUCAUGGCCAGGAUGAAGGUGCGGUAACACGCACUGGAGGUCCGAACCCACUAAUGUUGAAAAAUUAGGGGAUGAGCUGUGGGUAGGGGUGAAAGGCUAAACAAACUUGGAAAUAGCUGGUUCUCUCCGAAAACUAUUUAGGUAGUGCCUCAAGUAUCACCAUCGGGGGUAGAGCACUGUUAUGGCUAGGGGGUCAUCGCGACUUACCAAACCAUUGCAAACUCCGAAUACCGAUGAGUGCGAGCUUGGGAGACAGACGUCGGGUGCUAACGUCCGGCGUCAAGAGGGAAACAACCCAGACCGCCAGCUAAGGUCCCAAAGAUUGGCUAAGUGGAAAACGAAGUGGGAAGGCUAAAACAGUCAGGAUGUUGGCUUAGAAGCAGCCAUCAUUUAAAGAAAGCGUAAUAGCUCACUGAUCGAGUCGUCCUGCGCGGAAGAUGUAACGGGGCUAAGCCAGUCACCGAAGCUGCGGAUAU